GCCCGGGUGGUGGAACUGGUAGACACACCAUCUUGAGGGGGUGGCGGCGCAAGCCGUGCGGGUUCAAAUCCCGCCCCGGGCACCA
rnacentral:tRNA from 1 species